GGUUUGUUGUGUCGUCAGGUCACACCACAGGAGGGAGGGGUUUGUUGUGUCGUCAGGUCACACCACAGGAGGGAGGGGUUUGUUGUGUCGUCAGGUCACACCACAUGAGGGAGGGGUUUGUUGUGUCGUCAGGUCACACCACAUGAGGGAGGGGUUUGUUGUGUCGUCAGGUCACACCACUGGUAUAAGAAGACCCCAGGGAAGUUGAUACAAGUAUGUGUUGUAAAUGUUGUUGUGUCGUAACGUCACACUAAAGGAGAAGUGAAAAUAAGAAUAGUCAGGUCAGCAGUGUAAGAAUACCCUUUUUUGAAGCACAUGACAUGAAUUUAACCAUCCGAACUAAUCUUGACCUGAUCAAACCUAACCAAGUCCUAACCAAACCUUACCUUACCUAACCAAUCAUACAAAAACUCACCUAACCUAGUCUAAACUAACCAAACCAAACCAAACCAAGUCCUGAUCAAACCUGGCCUUUUCUAACCAACCUUACAAAAAACUCAUGUAACCUAAUCUAACCUAACCUACCCAAAUCAAAUCCUGACCAAACCUUACCUUUCCUACCCAAAGCCUUCCAAACAAAUCACCUAACCUAACCCAACCUAAACUAACCAACGGGUCCUUGAAUAGAUUGUGGUUAGAUUGGGUUACGUUUAGUCAACUCGCGUCGUUUAGGAAAAAAAAAAAAAAAACCAAAUCGAUGUUGUUAAAAAAUUUCAUCCAUUUGUAUACAUUAUCUCACGUAAUUCCUUUUGGAGAAGAAAGAUACAGGAAAAACAUAGAUAAAGGAAGUAGGAAGUAAACAAUAUGAAUAACUAUCCAAAUUACGAGUACUACCAUAUCAUUUCCCUCUCCCAAAUAAAAAAAAAAUAACACUGUUUUAAUGCGUAUGUGCGUGCGUGUGUGCAUGUGUAAAAAGCAAAGAAAUGUAUCUAAAGUAAUGGAAGUGUAUAUAUAUAAUUGACCUGAUAUUUAUGAUGAGUGUUAACACAUUUAAGAAUUCCACUAUGAUAUCUGUGUACUGUAUUUGGCGUAUGUCUCUACCUACUGCUGUAUUCUUGAAUCUAUUUUGUAAUGUCGGUACUUUUCGUGUAUAAAUUGAUGUGUGUGUGAACCGAGACUUCCUUUCUAAAAUACGAUAGCAUGUAUAUAUAGCAUUAGGUCACCUGAUAUGUGGCUGUUGCUUUCAUCACAUUUUCUAUAAAAACAGAAAACGUGAACAAUAGUUGGAGUCUCGUAGAAAAUGGGUAGUGGGUGUAUCAUAGAAAAUGGGUCAUGAUUGUAUGACAGAAAAUGGGUAAUGGGUAUAUCACAGAAGAUGGGUAUCAUAUGUAAUUAUGUAUAUACAAUGAAUAUUUCUGUCUGUUAUAGGAUAAGAAUUAAUUAUAGUUGUUGAUAAUCUCACAUUACCAUCACUUGUAUAAUGUUCCUUUUAUUUCACCCAGGAGUUUAGUAAUAUGUAAACUGUGGUUUUUUUUUUACUCUGUACAGAUAAAUGAAUCACGAUUUAUUUUAUCUUUUAAGAAGAAGAAAUUCCUAUGAUGUGCUACUGUGUACCUCUGCUAGGCACAAACCCUCUCCUAGGAUCCUUUCUGCUGGGAUCCUCUUUGCUAGAAUCUACUCUGCUAGGAUCCUGUUUCCUUGGGUUCCAAUUUGCUCUGAUCUUCUCUGCUGGGACCCAAUUUUCUAGGAUCUUCCCUUAUUAGAUUUCUAUCUGCUAGAAUCCCCACUUCAGGGAUUCUUUGCUAGGUUCCUCUUUGCUAGGAUCCUCUUUGCUAGGUUCCUCUUUGCUAGGAUCCUCUUUGCUAGGAACAAACUCUUGUUAGGUACCACUGACCUUAAAGAACAAUACUUCCCGUUUUCUUUCGACUGGCAGAUCCACUUCUCGUUUUCUUUCGACAUAGAGAUCCGUGACUUUCCCAACCCUCAGUAAGGCUCAUUUUACACGUGUUGUGGUAUGGGGAGGUGAGCUUUACUGACCGGCGGCCUCUUCACCCAAGGGUCUGUCACGGAUCUGGUAAGAAAUUUCUUUGCCUGGGGUUAGUGGUUGACGGGGUUGUGUAUGAGUUGGUGAGUUUGGAGAAGGGUCUUAGUUUCAAGGUGCUUCAACUGCCAGGGUCAUUAAGCACCGUUCACUAGGAUUUAGUUUUAAGGUGCUACAACUACCAGGGUUGUUUAGCAUCGUUCACUAGGUCUUAGUUUUUAUAACAUACAACUUAUAGUAAAACAAUGAAUUCCUGUUUUUACUAUGAAGGAAUCCUAACUCUUGUAUAUAAUAUAUUUACACUGAAGAGUUCCUCAUUCCAUGAUCAACCUUCAUCAUUUUCUAAGUGAAAAAAUAGGACUUUUUUCCACUUUUAUCUCAUGUGAACUUUGUACAAAUUACUUUAAAAUGUUGAUGUAUACAUACACUCACUAUAUACUGCAUAUAUAUACUGACACAAUGUCACUGUUAUUGUGGUAAAUUCAUAUCAGUAGCUUUGACGACCCUCUAGUGAUCUUACAUGAUUGGCUAUGUAUGUAUGCACAGUAUGUCUUUACCACCUGCCUGACAAAGCUGUACUGUGUUUUAUUAUUAUUAUUAUUAUUAUUAUUAUUAUUAUUAUUAUUAUUAUUAUUAUUAUUAUUAUUGUCAUCAUUAUCAUCCUGUAGGUGCGGUAGGCUGGACAUGGUGGUCUACCAGGAUAUGUUUUCACCGGGUUAUUUAGUUUUUUCCUGUGUUUAGGUCACUUCAUUUCGUUAUAAUUCCUCAUGAACUCAACCCGAUUUUACCUCUUGUGGAGAGACGCCUGGUCCGUAUUAUUUAUUCAUGGUAAGGAGAGGUUAAGUCAGGUGAAGUUUGGAGAAUUAUUAACAAUUUCCCAUCAUGUAUUUUACUGAUUAGACUGACCAGGUGUAUUGAUGAUUAGACUGACCAGGUGUGUUGAUGAUUAGACUGACCUGGUGUGUUGAUGAUUAGACUGACUGUAUUAGACUGACCAGGUGUGUUGAUAAUUAGACUGACCAGGUGUGUUGAUGAUUAGACUGAAUGGAUUAGACUGACCAGGUGUGUUGAUGAUUAGAUUGAAUGGAUUAGACUGACCAGUUGUGUUGAUGAUUAGACUGAAUGGAUUAGACUGACCAGGUGUGUUGAUGAUUAGAUUGAAUGGAUUAGACUGACCAGUUGUGUUGAUGAUUAGACUGAAUGGAUUAGACUGACCAGGUGUGUUUCUGACAGCCAGUGACCUAUAGCCUCCUCAGACCACCUAUAGCCCUGGUACACCUGUCAGCUCGAUCAGAUACCACAGCUUAAAUUUAUCUGUGGUAUAACUAUAAUGGGGUUGUGGCAUAUCUAUCUGCUGGCUGUGGUAUAGCUGUGUUAAGAGUGGUAUAACGGGGGUAUAGCUGUGUUAAGAGUGAUAUAACGGGGGUAUAGCUGUGUUAAGAGUGGUAUAACGAGGGCAUAGCUGUGUUAAGAGUGGUAUAACAGUGAUAACAAUAGAAUUCCUUUUUCUUCACAACUCGAGCUGGAGAAGUGCCCGUAACCCACCUGGCUGACCAAUGACCUACCUGGCUGACCUGCCUGACUUGACCUAUCUCCUGUGACCUACCUUGCUGACUUACCUGACUGACCUAUCUCCUGUGACUUACCUUACUGACCAACCUGACUGACCUACUUAGUGUGACCUACCUGACUCCCCUACCUGGUGUUAUCUACCUGGCUUGACCCACCACUCUGACCUACCUAGCUGACCUACCUAUUUGACUUACGUGACUAACUUACUUGGUAUGACCUACCUGGCUGACCUAAUUUGUGUGACCUACCUUACUGGCCUACCUGACUGACCUACCUGGUAUAACCUACCUAUCUGACCUACCUAGCUGGCCUGCAUAGAUGACCUACGUGGCUUUACCUUCCUGGCUGAACCUACCUAGAAGAUGACCUACCUACCUGGCUUGACCUUUCUAGAUGACCUACCAAGAGUAUGGCCUACCUACCUAUCUACCUGACUUGACCUUCCUAGCUGAACCUACCUAAAAGAUGACCUACUUAACCUACCUAGAAGAUUCCUUACCUGGUUGAUGACCUACCUGGUUGAUGACCUACCUGGUUGAUGACCUACCUGGCUUGACCUGCCCAGCCUACUGUGGUCAGAUCAGGGGCUCGUCUAGUUUACAUAGGUAGGUGUUUUUGAUGUCUCAGCUCUUAUGUAUUGGAGAGGUCAACACUGUAAUGAUCUUUUGAUAAUAAACAGAAGAUGAAU
rnacentral:lncRNA from 1 species